rnacentral:rRNA from 1 species
UACGGAGGGUGCAAGCGUUAUCCGGAUUCACUGGGUUUAAAGGGAGCGUAGGUGGGCUGGUAAGUCAGUGGUGAAAUCUCCGGGCUUAACUCGGAAACUGCCGUUGAUACUAUCAGUCUUGAAUAUUGUGGAGGUAAGCGGAAUAUGUCAUGUAGCGGUGAAAUGCUUAGAUAUGACAUAGAACACCGAUAGCGAAGGCAGCUUGCUACACAAUAAUUGACACUGAGGCACGAAAGCGUGGGGAUCAAACAGG